GCCCGGUUAGCUCAGUUUGGUAGAGCGUGAGACUUUUAUCUUUGAGGCAAUUCAGCCAAGGAAAAAGUUAUCUUAAGGUCGUGGGUUCGACCCCCACAUCGGGCG